rnacentral:tRNA from 1 species
UCGGUAGUUUGAUUUGCUAGACCUUUUUUUUCGCAAUGAAGAGGUCGGCGGUUCGAUCCCGCUCCGAUCCA